GCCUACAACAUAGCGUUAAUGCAUUGGAUCCCAUUAUAACUCUGUAGUUAAGUGUGCUCAGGCUAGAGUAGUACUGGGAUGGAUGAUCACCUAGGAAGUCCUACUAACUUAUAUGCC
rfam:Picea glauca, whole genome shotgun sequence.